GCCCGAGUAGCUCAGUGGAAGAGCAGUUGCCUUCUAAGCAAAAGGUCGCAGGUUCGAUCCCUACCUCGGGUACCA
rnacentral:tRNA from 1 species